rnacentral:rRNA from 1 species
CGAGACGGCGGGGUAGAGGCCCGCCGCGGUAACGACGGGUAACGGGGAAUCAGGGUUCGAUUCCGGAGAGGGAGCCCCGAGAAAACGGCUACCACUUCCAAGGAAGGCAGCAGGCGCGCAACUUACCCCUAAUCUCGAUUCGAGGAGGUAGUGACAAGAAAUACCGAUGCGGGACCCUACGGGGUGCCGCGUUCGGAAUGAGUACGAUUCGAACCACCUAACGAGGAACGAUCGGAGGGCAAGUCUGGUGCCAGCAGCCGCGGUAAUUCCAGCUCCAAUAGCGUACGUUAAAGUUGCUGCAGUUAAAAAGCUCGUAGUUGAACGUUCGGGUUCCGCGGGACGGGGCCGCCCCGCGAGGGACGGCGCCGCCCCGGGGCUCGUGAUAUCUCAUCUCGCCGCCCGUCGCGAGGCGGACGGAGGGAUGGAUGAGGUUACCUGGAAAAAAUCGGGGCGAUCUAGGCGGGCGAACCUCGCCAACGAACGAUCGGACAUGGG